rnacentral:rRNA from 1 species
AACGCGAAGAACCUUACCUGGGUUUGACAUGCGCAGGACGCCAGUAGAGAUAUUGGUUCCCUUGUGGCCUGUGUGCAGGUGGUGCAUGGCUGUCGUCAGCUCGUGUCGUGAGAUGUUGGGUUAAGUCCCGCAACGAGCGCAACCCUUGUCUCAUGUUGCCAGCGCGUUAUGGCGGGGACUCGUGAGAGACUGCCGGGGUCAACUCGGAGGAAGGUGGGGAUGACGUCAAGUCAUCAUGCCCCUUACGUCCAGGGCUGCAAACAUGCUACAAUGGCCGGUACAGAGGGCUGCUAUUCCGCGAGGAUGAGCGAAUCCCAAAAAGCCGGUCUCAGUUCGGAUUGGAGUCUGCAACUCGACUCCAUGAAGUCGGAGUCGCUAGUAAUCCCGAAUCAGCAACGUCGGGGUGAAUACGUUCCCGGGCCUUGUACACACCGAGACGUA